UAGGGAAUCUUCCGCAAUGGACGAAAGUCUGACGGAGCAACGCCGCGUGAGUGAUGAAGGUCUUCGGAUCGUAAAACUCUGUUGUUAGGGAAGAACAAGUGCCGUUCGAAUAGGGCGGCACCUUGACGGUACCUAACCAGAAAGCCACGGCUAACUACGUGCCAGCAGCCGCGGUAAUACGUAGGUGGCAAGCGUUGUCCGGAAUUAUUGGGCGUAAAGCGCGCGCAGGCGGUUUCUUAAGUCUGAUGUGAAAGCCUCCGGCUCAACCGGGGAGGGUCAUUGGAAACUGGGGAACUUGAGUGCAGAAGAGGAGAGUGGAAUUCCACGUGUAGCGGUGAAAUGCGUAGAGAUGUGGAGGAACACCAGUGGCGAAGGCGACUCUCUGGUCUGUAACUGACGCUGAGGCGCGAAAGCGUGGGGAGCGAACAGGAUUAGAUACCCUGGUAGUCCACGCCGUAAACGAUGAGUGCUAAGUGUUAGAGGGUUUCCGCCCUUUAGUGCUGCAGCUAACGCAUUAAGCACUCCGCCUGGGGAGUACGGUCGCAAGGACUUG
rnacentral:rRNA from 1 species